UACAGAGGUCUCAAGCGUUGUUCGGAUUCAUUGGGCGUAAAGGGUGCGUAGGUGGCGCGUUAAGUCAGGUGUGAAAUUUCGGAGCUUAACUCCGAAACUGCAUUCGAUACUGCGGUGCUUGAGGACUGGAGAGGAGACUGGAAUUCAUGGUGUAGCAGUGAAAUGCGUAGAGAUCAUGAGGAAGACCAGUGGCGAAGGCGGGUCUCUGGACAGUUCCUGACACUGAGACACGAAGGCCAGGGGAGCAAACGGG
rnacentral:rRNA from 1 species